rnacentral:rRNA from 1 species
CCUACGGGAGGCAGCAGUGGGGAAUAUUGGACAAUGGGGGCAACCCUGAUCCAGCCAUGCCGCGUGUGUGAAGAAGGCCCUCGGGUUGUAAAGCACUUUCAGUGAGGAAGAACGCCUGGUGGUUAAUACCCAUCAGGAAAGACAUCACUCACAGAAGAAGCACCGGCUAACUCCGUGCCAGCAGCCGCGGUAAUACGGAGGGUGCGAGCGUUAAUCGGAAUUACUGGGCGUAAAGCGCGCGUAGGUGGCUUGAUAAGCCGGUUGUGAAAGCCCCGGGCUCAACCUGGGAACGGCAUCCGGAACUGUCAAGCUAGAGUGCAGGAGAGGAAGGUAGAAUUCCCGGUGUAGCGGUGAAAUGCGUAGAGAUCGGGAGGAAGACCAGUGGCGAAGGCGGCCUUCUGGACUGACACUGACACUGAGGUGCGAAAGCGUGGGUAGCAAACAGGAUUAGAUACCCUUGUAGUC